rnacentral:rRNA from 1 species
ACGGCAGCGCGGGGCAACCUGGCGGCGAGUGGCGAACGGGUGAGUAAUAUAUCGGAACGUACCCUGGAGUGGGGGAUAACGUAGCGAAAGUUACGCUAAUACCGCAUACGAUCUAAGGAUGAAAGUGGGGGAUCGCAAGACCUCAUGCUCCUGGAGCGGCCGAUAUCUGAUUAGCUAGUUGGCGGGGUAAAAGCCCACCAAGGCAACGAUCAGUAGCUGGUCUGAGAGGACGACCAGCCACACUGGAACUGAGACACGGUCCAGACUCCUACGGGAGGCAGCAGUGGGGAGUUUUGGACAAUGGGCGCAAGCCUGAUCCAGCAAUGCCGCGUGAGUGAAGAAGGCCUUCGGGUUGUAAAGCUCUUUUGUCAGGGAAGAAACGGUGGGGGCUAAUAUCCCCCGCUAAUGACGGUACCUGAAGAAUAAGCACCGGCUAACUACGUGCCAGCAGCCGCGGUAAUACGUAGGGUGCAAGCGUUAAUCGGAAUUACUGGGCGUAAAGCGUGCGCAGGCGGUUUUGUAAGUCUGUCGUGAAAUCCCCGGGCUCAACCUGGGAAUUGCGAUGGAGACUGCAAGGCUAGAGUUUGGCAGAGGGGGGUAGAAUUCCACGUGUAGCAGUGAAAUGCGUAGAUAUGUGGAGGAACACCGAUGGCGAAGGCAGCCCCCUGGGUCAAAACUGACGCUCAUGCACGAAAGCGUGGGGAGCAAACAGGAUUAGAUACCCUGGUAGUCCACGCCCUAAACGAUGUCUACUAGUUGUCGGGUCUUAAUUGACUUGGUAACGCAGCU